AACAUCAAAGUGAACAGAUCGCAGUAGAAGAAGUUAGAUUAAU
rnacentral:guide_RNA from 1 species